UACGAGGGGGGCGAGCGUUAUUCGGAAUUAUUGGGCGUAAAGGGCGCGUAGGCGGUCGGAUAAGUCUUGUGUGAAAUCUUCGGGCUCAACUCGAAGUCUGCACAGGAAACUAUCUGGCUUGAGUGUGGGAGAGGUGAGUGGAAUUCCUGGUGUAGCGGUGAAAUGCGUAGAUAUCAGGAGGAACACCUGUGGCGAAAGCGGCUCACUGGACCACAACUGACGCUGAGGCGCGAAAGCUAGGGGAGCAAACAGG
rnacentral:rRNA from 1 species